ACGAAAACAUUGAAAAUCGUGAAUUUUACCGUAACCCGCGGUCAAAUUUUAGAUUUUUCAAAAAUAAUUGCACGAGUUUUAACGACAAUUAACAUUUUUUUCGACACAAUUUAAACACCGCGAAAAUACGUACAACUUUUUCUCGGUAUGAGCGCGCAAAUCCGAAAUGCCCAAGGGCAGUGUUCAAACGAAGCGAUACGGUUUUGUUUUUUUUUUAUCUCCGCUAGCCGUAAACAAGCUCAUUUCCUCGUCAGUCGGAAAAUUCGGUAUGUUCGCCCCAAUCCUAUACCGCGUCCGUCGAAAUGACGCCGCAGACAAUAUCGUACGCGUGCACGACUUGUUUACUUUUUAAAACAGAUCCAUGGCGACUACGACAGAACUGCUGCAUUCGUUGUAAUAUAAACCACUUAGAAAAAAAAAAAAAAAAAACAACAAAACCGGAAGUGUUCAGGAACAGCGUCAACAGUGUGGUCCGGCACAACGCAACACUAAUGGGUUCGCAUCGCGGGCGGGAGCGUUAAUUGCCGG